rnacentral:rRNA from 1 species
UCUUAAAUCAUUGUUUCAUGGUUCUUAAGAUAACGUAAGGGAUAAAAAUGAUAGUACCUUACUAUAAGUGUUGUCCAACAAUACUGGUGCCAGAAGACUCGGUAACGCCAGAAACGCAAACGUUAGUCGUCCUAAUCAGGCGUAAAGGGUAAGUAGGCUGCUUUGAAAGUUGUUAAUUAGAAAGCUCUUAAAAAAAAUUAAAGUAAUUAAUAAUGAAUUAAAGCUAGAAUCAAAUAGGGGAUAAGCCAAAUAAUAUUUAGUGUAAGGCUAAUAUCUUUAGAUACUAAAUGGAAUACUAAGGUGAAAACUUUUAUCUACUAAUGAUUGACGCUGAGGAACGAAGGUGAGAAUAGAAAACAGGAUUAGAGACCCAGGUAUCUCUCACUGUCAACGAUGAAUGGUAGUUGUUAGUUAAACUUAACUAGUAACGAUGUUAACGCGUUAACCAUUCCGCCUUGCGAGUAC